AACGAACGCUGGCGGCAUGCCUAACACAUGCAAGUCGAACGAGACCUUCGGGUCUAGUGGCGCACGGGUGCGUAACGCGUGGGAACCUGCCCUUAGGUUCGGAAUAACUCCCCGAAAGGGGUGCUAAUACCGGAUAAUGUCUUCGGACCAAAGAUUUAUCGCCUUUGGAUGGGCCCGCGUUGGAUUAGCUAGUUGGUAGGGUAAAAGCCUACCAAGGCGACGAUACAUAGCUGGUCUGAGAGGAUGAUCAGCCACACUGGGGCUGAGACACGGCCCAGACUCCUACGGGAGGCAGCAGUGGGGAAUAUUGGACAAUGGGCGAAAGCCUGAUCCAGCAAGGCCGCGUGAGUGAUGAAGGCCUUAGGGUUGUAAAGCUCUUUUACCCGGGAUGAUAAUGACAGUACCGGGAGAAUAAGCUCCGGCUAACUCCGUG
rnacentral:rRNA from 1 species